rnacentral:lncRNA from 1 species
CCAAGCCAUGGCUCAUGAGCCAGCAGAGAACGCGCCGGUGUGACCUUAUGCCAAGAAGCAACACAGCAAGAUGACCAGAGGAUGUACCACUUCAAGAUGGAAAUGGCUAUGUUCAAAGAUAUUUUAGAGAUGUACAAGGAAGAUUUUGGGAUUCUCGUUGCAUCAAUAUAUGCGAUCUGCAGUAGCAAUGUCCAAAAACUUAACGGGCACUUUCAUGUAGAGAGAGCCUUCCUUAUUACAGCACUUAUUCGCAAGAUUUCAGCGUACUGAAAUCUUUGAUGAACAUGAACAUUGCCCUAAUUAAUUAUGUAUGACAUUACUAUACAGUAUUAUGUACUUAUAAGCUUUGUUUAUCAAUGUCUUGUAUUAAUGUAAUUUUUUUUUGUUUUCGGUACAAUUAACAUAUGUACCUAUUUGUGAUUUGUACCCAAUAAUCAUGUGCAAGGGGUCAUGGUAUGGUCUCGUAACCGAGGGACCCUCUUCUGUGUAUCCCUUUUUGUUGUAAUCAUGCUUUGCAAUAUAAAUGUUUGAAUAAAAAGGGGCAUCAAGAAAUUGAAAGAUUA